rnacentral:rRNA from 1 species
GACGAACGCUGGCGGCGUGCUUAACACAUGCAAGUCGAACGGAAAGGCCCUGCUUUUGUGGGGUGCUCGAGUGGCGAACGGGUGAGUAACACGUGAGUAACCUGCCCUUGACUUUGGGAUAACUUCAGGAAACUGGGGCUAAUACCGGAUAGGAGCUCCUGCUGCAUGGUGGGGGUUGGAAAGUUUCGGCGGUUGGGGCUGGAUUCGCGGCUUAUCAGCUUGUUGGUGGGGUAGUGGCUUACCAAGGCUUUGACGGGUAGCCGGCCUGAGAGGGUGACCGGCGACAAGGGGACUGAGAUACGGCCCAGACUCCAACGGGAGGCAGCAGUGGGGAAUAUUGCACAGUGGGCGGAAGCCUGAUGAAGCAACGCCGCGUGCGGGAUGACGGCCUUCGGGUUGUAAACCGCUUUCGCCUGUGACGAAGCGUGAGUGACGGUAAUGGGUAAAGAAGCACCGGCUAACUACGUG